rnacentral:rRNA from 1 species
GGUUAAGCGACUAAGCGUACACGGUGGAUGCCCUGGCAGUCAGAGGCGAUGAAGGACGUGCUAAUCUGCGAUAAGCGUCGGUAAGGUGAUAUGAACCGUUAUAACCGGCGAUUUCCGAAUGGGGAAACCCAGUGUGAUUCGUCACACUAUCAUUAACUGAAUCCAUAGGUUAAUGAGGCGAACCGGGGGAACUGAAACAUCUAAGUACCCCGAGGAAAAGAAAUCAACCGAGAUUCCCCCAGUAGCGGCGAGCGAACGGGGAGCAGCCCAGAGCCUGAAUCAGUGUGUGUGUUAGUGGAAGCGUCUGGAAAGGCGCGCGAUACAGGGUGACAGCCCCGUACACAAAAAUGCACAUACUGUGAGCUCGAUGAGUAGGGCGGGACACGUGGUAUCCUGUCUGAAUAUGGGGGGACCAUCCUCCAAGGCUAAAUACUCCUGACUGACCGAUAGUGAACCAGUACCGUGAGGGAAAGGCGAAAAGAACCCCGGCGAGGGGAGUGAAAAAGAACCUGAAACCGUGUACGUACAAGCAGUGGGAGCACGCUUAGGCGUGUGACUGCGUACCUUUUGUAUAAUGGGUCAGCGACUUAUAUUCUGUAGCAAGGUUAACCGAAUAGGGGAGCCGAAGGGAAACCGAGUCUUAACUGGGCGUUAAGUUGCAGGGUAUAGACCCGAAACCCGGUGAUCUAGCCAUGGGCAGGUUGAAGGUUGGGUAACACUAACUGGAGGACCGAACCGACUAAUGUUGAAAAAUUAGCGGAUGACUUGUGGCUGGGGGUGAAAGGCCAAUCAAACCGGGAGAUAGCUGGUUCUCCCCGAAAGCUAUUUAGGUAGCGCCUCGUGAAUUCAUCUCCGGGGGUAGAGCACUGUUUCGGCAAGGGGGUCAUCCCGACUUACCAACCCGAUGCAAACUGCGAAUACCGGAGAAUGUUAUCACGGGAGACACACGGCGGGUGCUAACGUCCGUCGUGAAGAGGGAAACAACCCAGACCGCCAGCUAAGGUCCCAAAGUCAUGGUUAAGUGGGAAACGAUGUGGGAAGGCCCAGACAGCCAGGAUGUUGGCUUAGAAGCAGCCAUCAUUUAAAGAAAGCGUAAUAGCUCACUGGUCGAGUCGGCCUGCGCGGAAGAUGUAACGGGGCUAAACCAUGCACCGAAGCUGCGGCAGCGACGCUUAUGCGUUGUUGGGUAGGGGAGCGUUCUGUAAGCCUGUGAAGGUGUGCUGUGAGGCAUGCUGGAGGUAUCAGAAGUGCGAAUGCUGACAUAAGUAACGAUAAAGCGGGUGAAAAGCCCGCUCGCCGGAAGACCAAGGGUUCCUGUCCAACGUUAAUCGGGGCAGGGUGAGUCGACCCCUAAGGCGAGGCCGAAAGGCGUAGUCGAUGGGAAACAGGUUAAUAUUCCUGUACUUGGUGUUACUGCGAAGGGGGGACGGAGAAGGCUAUGUUGGCCGGGCGACGGUUGUCCCGGUUUAAGCGUGUAGGCUGGUUUUCCAGGCAAAUCCGGAAAAUCAAGGCUGAGGCGUGAUGACGAGGCACUACGGUGCUGAAGCAACAAAUGCCCUGCUUCCAGGAAAAGCCUCUAAGCAUCAGGUAACAUCAAAUCGUACCCCAAACCGACACAGGUGGUCAGGUAGAGAAUACCAAGGCGCUUGAGAGAACUCGGGUGAAGGAAACUAGGCAAAAUGGUGCCGUAACUUCGGGAGAAGGCACGCUGAUAUGUAGGUGAAGUCCCUCGCGGAUGGAGCUGAAAUCAGUCGAAGAUACCAGCUGGCUGCAACUGUUUAUUAAAAACACAGCACUGUGCAAACACGAAAGUGGACGUAUACGGUGUGACGCCUGCCCGGUGCCGGAAGGUUAAUUGAUGGGGUCAGCGCAAGCGAAGCUCUUGAUCGAAGCCCCGGUAAACGGCGGCCGUAACUAUAACGGUCCUAAGGUAGCGAAAUUCCUUGUCGGGUAAGUUCCGACCUGCACGAAUGGCGUAAUGAUGGCCAGGCUGUCUCCACCCGAGACUCAGUGAAAUUGAACUCGCUGUGAAGAUGCAGUGUACCCGCGGCAAGACGGAAAGACCCCGUGAACCUUUACUAUAGCUUGACACUGAACAUUGAGCCUUGAUGUGUAGGAUAGGUGGGAGGCUUAGAAGUGUGGACGCCAGUCUGCAUGGAGCCGACCUUGAAAUACCACCCUUUAAUGUUUGAUGUUCUAACGUUGACCCGUAAUCCGGGUUGCGGACAGUGUCUGGUGGGUAGUUUGACUGGGGCGGUCUCCUCCUAAAGAGUAACGGAGGAGCACGAAGGUUGGCUAAUCCUGGUCGGACAUCAGGAGGUUAGUGCAAUGGCAUAAGCCAGCUUGACUGCGAGCGUGACGGCGCGAGCAGGUGCGAAAGCAGGUCAUAGUGAUCCGGUGGUUCUGAAUGGAAGGGCCAUCGCUCAACGGAUAAAAGGUACUCCGGGGAUAACAGGCUGAUACCGCCCAAGAGUUCAUAUCGACGGCGGUGUUUGGCACCUCGAUGUCGGCUCAUCACAUCCUGGGGCUGAAGUAGGUCCCAAGGGUAUGGCUGUUCGCCAUUUAAAGUGGUACGCGAGCUGGGUUUAGAACGUCGUGAGACAGUUCGGUCCCUAUCUGCCGUGGGCGCUGGAGAACUGAGGGGGGCUGCUCCUAGUACGAGAGGACCGGAGUGGACGCAUCACUGGUGUUCGGGUUGUCAUGCCAAUGGCACUGCCCGGUAGCUAAAUGCGGAAGAGAUAAGUGCUGAAAGCAUCUAAGCACGAAACUUGCCCCGAGAUGAGUUCUCCCUGACUCCUUGAGAGUCCUGAAGGAACGUUGAAGACGACGACGUUGAUAGGCCGGGUGUGUAAGCGCAGCGAUGCGUUGAGCUAACCGGUACUAAUGAACCGUGAGGCUUAACCUU